UCCCGAGAAUAGAAAGAAAAUGAAGGAGGAUGACGAUGAUGAUAAUGAUGAAUAUUUAACUCACGAUCUGCUCUGCGGCGUGCGGUCCCUUUGUCUUCUGUUUUUGAACCAAUUAGAGACCUGUCUCCAAGAGGACGUCCCCGUAUCUUUUCCGCCUCACGAUAAUGCGAUUUAAACCACAUUUGCUGUAAAUCCGGAUGCCGUCGGGUUGAAAAAGGAUGCCCUUCCAAUAUCGAAUACAACUCGUGAUACGCUCCUCUGUGAAAAGCAACCGAAGCUCUCGCCAUCAAAACGCUUUCACCGCCUCGAAGAAGCUCCCCAGGUGAUCGAAAAAGGAAAUUCGCCUGUACGUUGGAGAGAACGAUAAAAAAAUGACCGAAAAAGUAGCCGAACCUGGUGAGCCUGUCGAUGUCCUGGCUCUGUGAAAGUGCUUCGCACAUGCACGAUAUUUGUUCCGGUGUAAAAUUGUUGUUGGAGUUCGAAGUGCACGAAGAAAGUUCCGGCGAAUACUGAGGACUUCCAGGUGCAGCGGCAUUUGCAUUACACGAAGUUAAAUUUUGUGGAUUAUGAUGAUGAUGAUGAUGGUGAAGCGGAAGUCCCGUCAUUGCGGAGGAUCCGUUAUUCUACGCCACUUUUUCGUUUUGGGUUCAUACCAUCGUCGAGGCGACGAGCUUCCCCAUUGGUAGCAAGGCGGGAUCUACGAUCUUCUCAUUGGACGAUAUAGGGGUGGCCACAACCCUCUCGUAAUAUACACCCCUUGCUGUAUACCUAUGUACAAUCGAAUCCCCUCUCAGCUAGAUGGAGGUGGAGGAGAGGAGAGGAGGAAAAUGAGGGGAAAAUAGAAGAUGAGGGAGGAAGUUACAUCGCCAAUCCUCUUUCUCCCUUUCUCCGCACACAUACAAUCCACACCACGUUGUUAUAUCUUGUAACGUAUACGAUUAUACACAAGUACAGUGGAUCGGCGUAUAAUAUGAACAACAAACACCGGAAACUGACUGGGGGUACGAGUAAUACCAGUGUCAACAAAUACACUACAGGCAUAUCGGUCAGCCAACACCUUGUUUUCAUCUAAUUACGAUAACAGUUAUAAAGUUAGCUGCUGCGCUACAUCACGAUAUCCGAGGACCUCCGCACUCUUUAUAUACCUCUCAUAUGUACAGCAACUGGCAGAGAGUGGAAAAUGUAUUUAUAUACAUAUAAUAUAAUUCUUCGGAGUGUUUCGUAGAUCAAUGAAGCCACGGAGUGAAGUUCUCACUCGUCAGUAACCGCCCCAAACGGACUCAAAGCAACCAUCAUCUCUUCCUCGCUUCAUCCCCCUUUUCGCAUCUCAUGCCUAUACGUAUGUUAUAGCUACAACUAUAUUUCUUAUUAUUGUGCCCAGCUGAAAAUCUCCAACUUAGCUUUAUUUAGGUGAUGAAAAAAAGGAAGAAAAGAAGACUCUUGCGGGUGGGGCGACGCCGAGGAAUUGGCGUCGGCGAGAGAGCGUCGCGAUGGCGUCUCCUUCGAUUUCGUGUCGGAUGUCCGCCAAGCCGCCAUUUUACCCCUCUUCACCUCUUCGCCUCUUCGUUCUACUCUCCUGCAGAGUAUAAUACGCUACACGGAAUUCUUCAGGGAGGGGAAGAGAGGAAAUAUCCACGGCGAAGGGAUGCUCAUCGCGGAGGUAUAAGAGCGAGGGCAAGGAAAAGGGGGGGACCUCUUUAUCAAACCCUUAUAUUGGAUCUUCUUACGUCGCUACGCGGUCCUCGUCGUCGUUAUGCUGCAGCAGCACACCCCCACCAAUUCUUCACUUCCAUCUACCUUUAUUCUUCGUUGGCACAUCACAUUGCAGCAAUAGGAUAUUGCCCUUCGUUUCGCUUGUAUAUACAUAUAAAUGGCAGACAGAGAGAGAGACAAAGAAAGAGAAAGACAGAAGCUAGGCAGCCCUUCCGCGUGAUGUUUUCACCCGAGAUUUAUGGUAGGGCUAAUUAUUAUUGGGGUGGAUGGCCCUGCAUUGCUCAUGCGGUAGCACAGAGAAAAAAGAAAUGAGAGGGAGAUGGAGAUGGAGUGAUCUUCAAAAAGGAAAAAAAAGGAGGAGAGACUCUCUAUUGAUUUAUAUCGCCUAGCUCGUGUGUAACACCAGUGGAGAUGAGGCGAUGAGAAUGAUGAUGAUGCGAUGGGGUUUCCGAGGUUUACGGUCUGUCGCUUUAUGGCAUCGAAAUCCUUAUGCGCUUAUACGUUAUGCUAUGGGAGUUAAAACCGGUGGCGGUCGGCGUUGCAGAGCUUAUUAGGACAUAUAGAAUACAGAGCCUAAUGAUCCGAAAGUGCUGCACAUGUGUCGAAGUUAUGUCACUCGAUAUCAUCAACCCUGUUAGAAUGUAUAUAAUAAGUAUAUGUAUAUAUAUUAGGGGUGACCCUCAUCUUCGUCGUCUUCAUUUUCUUAUUUUUUUUUCUGAUUUUGGGGUUUUCUCUGGUGAACGUCCGAGGAAUAAGCAGAUUCUACAAAUUCCUCAUCCGUUUUCACAAGGAGAGGGAAUAAAUCGCUGUUGCUUCUACCCGGAGAUUUUAGCGUGGUCAGUAAUUGGCUCAAAUCGUGAUGAUGAUCACUGUGAUGGUGGUAAACAGUUGCGCGGAAUUAGAAUAAUGAUAACGUUCAUACUGUCGGGUCGGCGGGACCGCGUGUCAGGUGAGUUUUGUGGGAGAACGUCGUUCGCAGGUCUCCUGGAGGGUAUCGGAUAUCGCUGACGUAUAAAAACGAUCGUUGCAUCGUUUCUCGUUCUUUUUUAAUCUAGAUUACAUAAUAGGCGUUAACACGACGGAUUUGAUAAUCUGAAGGAAAAUCUGAUAGCCGUUAAAUGGAAAAUCGACGCUACCAGCCACUACAAAUCCUUUGCAAACUUAAUUCCCUUUGGCUGAUCCCUGGAACGCGCGACUAUAAGAGAAAUCCUGGAGACGCGCGCUUCUGCAAUAUGUACAGGAUAUCUAUACCAAAAAGAAAAAAAAUUAAAUGAAGUGAGAGCGAGAGGUGCAGCGGACAAUUGCAACGCAGCAAUCCUGAAGGUCUGAAAAUAAUAAUUCUGCAGACUUCCAUUUCUUUAUCGCAAAAUGCACAUCAUAUCAUCAUCGGCGUCAUCAUCAUCAUGUGCUACUGCCUCAGCUACUGCAUAACUACAAUUCCUGGAAAACGAAGUAUGUAGGGUUCCAGUGGUACCCAUAGAAAAAGAAGCUAGGAGUCCUCGUCGCAGAUAACGACGCGACGCGGUACGGAUAACAAGCCGACAUGGGAGUCACUCGACACCGCGGGACGCCCGGUACCCACCGACCCUAUUUUCUGCCCUUCUCUACACCAUGAUCUCGGAAUAUCCUACCAACGGAAAAUCAACCCCUUGAUACCUCAAGGAUAUAAAAGGUAUUCCGACGAACAGAAAGAGCAAAGAAACAAGGUAUUAACCUGAUUUAUAAUUGAUUUAUAAUCAGAUCAGCUGCUACUUAAUCAUAACUACACCGCAUCCCCAUGAAAGUUUUAAUAUCUUUCAUAUCGUAUUAUUUACGAAAAAUUGCCCAAUUUUCUUUCAAGCGUACACGAUGACUAUAGUCACCAGAGGUACACGUACAGCAUUAUCUUUUUUCUUCAUUGAAACUGUAAAUCUGGUAGGUACAUCACGGGUACUGCGGUGAACAGGAAGCGAUAUUAAUGGCUGGAAAAAAUUCACUAGCUAGUAGCUAGACAUGCACGAAGAGUGGGAUAUGAUAUUUGGUUGACAGCUAUUGUCGUCGAUAUUUCAAUGGGGGUAUUACAACAAUAAGCUGCAGCUAUUGACAAGGGCACGCGGUUCGGAGGACGACAGAGGGGCGUCUUUUUUUCUCUUCUUUUCUUUUUUUCCUAGCUGUGUGUGUCUUUAUGUAACGUACGUGUACGGUACGUAUGGUUUAUGUGAAUGAAAAUAACAUGAAUGUAAGGACUGCGAAAGGCGUUGGGUUUACAUGCAACAUCACGCCACAGGCCCGGGAUUGCAGCAGCACCUCAUCUCUGUGUUCAAAGGUACAGUGGUAUACAAUACAUAUAAGUACAUAAUAUAAGGGUGAUUGUUACCCUGUGGAGCGGUGUUGGAAGAAGGGGAAGUUUUCGAGGAUAAGUUUAUGAUGCUUGACUGUGCUUUUAACGCCCAUGGGACUACCGACUCAAUAGGAAUUUUCUGGAUCAUGCAUAAAAAUAGAAAUCAGAAGAAGACAUGGUAAUAGAGAAUUAAUAAUUGAAGAUGGCCGUACUUUUAAUUAAAAAAAAAAAUGGUCUGCUCUUCAUCGUGGGAUCAAAAUGGAAUCCAAUGGAGAGUGAGGAAAUUCGAAUAAGUGAUACAUCAGAUGCAGAGUGGUUGCGGCAUUGCUCCAUCAUAGAUAUGGCUCCAUGGACCGAAAUGACAUGAGAGGUAUUUUUUAAUAUGCAUAUAAAAAGAAAUCUCGAUAAAAUUCUGACAAAUCUUUUCGGACGACGAUUAUUGCCCGAAGAAAUCUGAAAAAUCAAGGGCAGUCAUCAGAUUUUUUCAAAUGAUAUCAGGAUUCUAUUUUUUCUAAUUGAAUGACUGUAAUAUCGUCUUGAGCAUCCCCCAUUAACGCCUGAUCAUAUGCAUCUCGAGCUACCCUUUACAUUUACCCCUAAGGAUUGCGUGAGAACAGGCGCUGUAAAUAAUUGAGCAUGAGAAAAAAUAUUCUGUAUAAGGGUUGCAGACACUAGUGCUACCCCUCGGAUAUGUGACGAACUAAUUAUGUAUCAAACCACCCUCGACCGCCGAUAGCCAAUCUUCAGUCAACGCUUCAGUCGUUGACUGAUGACAACGCCAACCAUCCCUUCGAGUUGCUUGAAAUUAAAAGUAAAAUUAAUGAAAAUGGGCUAUCAAAUUUAUUUUAGAGUAAUGACCUCAAAAUCGAGGAAAGUCUAAGGUAUCAAAAUGGGAUGAGAAUUCAACUUUUUUCCUAGGAUUGAUUAGAGUUUUACAGGCUAUUUUUAAGUGUACUGGAGCCCAGGAACCCGAAUCUCCCAGAAAAAUUGAUCUAUUCAUAAAAUUCAUCGAGUUAUCGCCAAUUUAUCGAAUUUGAAAGAGAAAAGUAAGGGAUAUCUUGAUGGGAAAAAUUCGUAGCUCAAAUUGGCCGACGAAUUCGUGUUCCUAAGGUCAAAAUACGUAAGGAAAGUGUUCUGCGAUCGAUUUUAUAAAUACAUUUUUGGCCCAAAAAUCGAAAAAAUCCAAAGGGGUAACCCUUGGAUUUUUGUCGAUUUUGGCUCAAAAAAAAAAAUAUUUUAUUUUAUAUGCUAUUCUUAUGUAUUUUAA